UGGGCUCACACAUGACUGAUCAGAAGCUGAGCAGCCCUCCAGCUCUCUUACCAUGUUGAUGACCUGUCACUGCCAGCCUCUAAUGAGGCUUGUCCUAAUACCUGUGUCUGCUAGCAACUGGCUUGAUUAACUGCUUUGUUCCUCUAAAUCACUUGUCUGUGGAUGUGAGCCAGGUCAGACUGCACAUUCUCUUCUUGGCUUCAUAUCCACAGUAGCCACUUCUGCUGGAAUGAAGAUGACUUUACAUUUCAAGAGCAAAAUUUGCCCAGGAAGCAAGCAAUGACGUGUUGAGUGCUCAAGGAAAGCUUGGGACUCCAUUGGAAGAGCCCUUGGGACGUGUACAGGAGAGGGUCAUGUGGGCAGAAAUAGGAAAGGGUACAUCUGGUGAGGAGGCUACUCUACUUCUGAAACUAGCUGGACAUAAGCCUGUUGGUGGAGAGGGCACAAAACCCUGGUCACAGUUAUGUUCCAAGUCCUCUGGGUACUUGGUUAAGUCCAUGCAAGAAGCAUUCAGUGAAUGACUACUUGAAACCAUGCUUUUGCAUGUACAGUGACUUCAAAGCCUGUGGAAAACCCUACAGCCCCAAAGCUCAAUCUUUCCAAACACAGCAGCCCUGCAACCAUUGGGUUGACCAGGGUGAUGAAUGAUUCUUCCUUGAGUACGGCCACUCUCCUCCCUGAGGUUCUCCUGACAAGAAGGGUUUUCAUUUCCAGAGCUGGGUCCACACCGUACAAAGCCAGCUGCAAGCAUGCUGACUGCACUGACUGUGGGAGGGAACCUGCUGUAAGCAGAUGGCAAGUGUAUGUCGACAGGGGGUACCUUCCAGAAGGAUCUGCACAGAGGAACCAGAGAGUCCCCAUGAGCCAGCUGUGCCCUGGACGUGUGCCGCUGUGAUGGAUUUGCUGGGACCCUUCACAUGGAUGCCCUGCCUUCUCUGCAGUGGAGCCAUACUGUGUGGAUGACGUUGGGUGAAUCUGUGGUUGUUGAAUCUGCAGAUGUGAAACCACAGACAUGGAGGGCUGACUGUAUUAAUUCGAGUACCCACUUCAUCUUCAGAGGAACAUGAAGAGGUCAACAAGCCUUAAUUGUUGAGCCAGUGGAGUGAACGGGAUUCGGUUGAAGUUCUUUACAGAAGGCAAGAAGACCACAAACAUCCCUCACCAAAUUGUGAAUGCUGGAGAAGUCUGGAGAAUUCUGAGUACUUUCUUCCUUUCCUAAAAACUUGAAAGAACAAUGGCAAAGCUGACUCCUUCAAAAAAAAAAAAAAAAAAAAAAAGA